rnacentral:rRNA from 1 species
UAAGGAAUAUUGGUCAAUGGACGCAAGUCUGAACCAGCCAUGCCGCGUGAAGGAUGAAGGCCCUCUGGGUUGUAAACUUCUUUUAUCUGGGAAGAAAUGCAUGCUUUCUAGCGUGUUUGACGGUACCAGAGGAAUAAGCACCGGCUAACUCCGUGCCAGCAGCCGCGGUAAUACGGAGGGUGCAAGCGUUAUCCGGAUUCACUGGGUUUAAAGGGUGCGUAGGUGGGAAUGUAAGUCAGUGGUGAAAUCUCCGUGCUUAACAUGGAAACUGCCAUUGAUACUAUGUUUCUUGAAUCUUCCGGAGGUCAGCGGAAUAUGUCAUGUAGCGGUGAAAUGCUUAGAUAUGACAUAGAACACCAAUUGCGAAGGCAGCUGACUACAGGAGCAUUGACACUGAGGCACGAAAGCGUGGGGAUCAAACAG